rnacentral:rRNA from 1 species
AUGAACGCUGGCGGCGUGCCUAAUACAUGCAAGUCGAGCGAACGGGCGAGAAGCUUGCUUCUCUGAUGUUAGCGGCGGACGGGUGAGUAACACGUGGAUAACCUACCUAUAAGACUGGGAUAACUUCGGGAAACCGGAGCUAAUACCGGAUAAUAUUUUGAACCGCAUGGUUCAAAAGUGUAAGACGGUCUUGCUGUCACUUAUAGAUGGAUCCGCGCUGCAUUAGCUAGUUGGUAAGGUAACGGCUUACCAAGGCAACGAUGCAUAGCCGACCUGAGAGGGUGAUCGGCCACACUGGAACUGAGACACGGUCCAGACUCCUACGGGAGGCAGCAGUAGGGAAUCUUCCGCAAUGGGCGAAAGCCUGACGGAGCAACGCCGCGUGAGUGAUGAAGGUCUUCGGAUCGUAAAACUCUGUUAUUAGGGAAGAACAUAUGUGUAAGUAACUGUGCACAUCUUGACGGUACCUAAUCAGAAAGCCACGGCUAACUACGUG